rnacentral:rRNA from 1 species
AACUCUGCCCUCAUUUACCCAGAAUCUACCUGAUCUCAGAGACUAAGCAGGGCCAGGCCUGGUUAGUACUUGGAUGGAAGAAUAAGGCUAUAACAAGCUGCUAGGGAUA